rnacentral:rRNA from 1 species
CCUACGUGCGGCAGCAGUGAGGAAUAUUGGUCAAUGGGUGCGAGCCUGAACCAGCCAAGUAGCGUGAAGGAUGACUGCCCUACGGGUUGUAAACUUCUUUUAUAAAGGAAUAAAGUGAGGCACGUGUGCCUUUUUGUAUGUACUUUAUGAAUAAGGAUCGGCUAACUCCGUGCCAGCAGCCGCGGUAAUACGGAGGAUCCGAGCGUUAUCCGGAUUUAUUGGGUUUAAAGGGAGCGUAGAUGGGUUGUUAAGUCAGUUGUGAAAGUUUGCGGCUCAACCGUAAAAUUGCAAUUGAUACUGGCAGUCUUGAGUACAGUUGUGGUAGGCGGAAUUCGUGGUGUAGCGGUGAAAUGCUUAGAUAUCACGAAGAACUCCGAUUGCGAAGGCAGCUUACUAAACUGCCACUGACAUUGAUGCUCGAAAGUGUGGGUAUCAAACAGGAUUAGAUACCCGAGUAGUC